GUCCCGCCCCCUCCAGGGUUGAGUCCCAGGCAGCGCCUGGAGCAGAAACAAAGAGUGGCAGAGAGAGAUCUGCCUCCCGGCUAGCUUUUUACCCCCUCAGCCUGGAAAGCAUCCCAGAGAGCCCUUUCCCCGGUCCCCACCCCCAAAAUACAGAGGAGAGAAGAACCGAAGGCCCAGAAGUCUGCAUGGCUGUCGUGCCCCACGCCACUUGUUCUUUAGAGAGAGGAUUCGAUGGGCAGCUCAGGCAGGAAUGUCACAGGCCCCAGCUGCAGCGCAAGGAGCUCCUGUCCCUCCCGAUGAGCCCUCCUGCUUCUCCGUGGGUCGCUAGGACACCCGUUGGUGCCCCGGAUCUUGCUUCUGAGCUUCUUCUUUAGACUAAAACUUAUCUUAUGGUUUUGGAGAGCUUUGCUUUCCGUUCUCAGCGACAGCAAUACAUCGAAUUAAGGAAGUUGGAGUUUCAUUAUAUCCAGGCGUUAAGAGAAAGGGCACAAUUACCAGCUCUUUGCAAAAUUCUGCUUUUACUAUGGGCUCCCCAAUUUUUUAUUGCAGCAUCUUAGCCAGUUUUCCAUGUAUAUUUCGUGUGGUGAUAUUAAACACACUCGCAAACA